ACGUAAUCCUAGGAGCGCCCUCGCGCAGUCUUCUGGGGAGGGUUCUUUCCUUUCGUGCCCACCCUCGCGCGUGCACGUUUCCUCCGCUCUGCCGUUUUAAGUCAGGUAGCAUUUACUGUGUCAGAUGGGGUUCAGGGUACAGCUUAUGUACAAGUAAAUUUUAGGUAUAGUUUUGGAUUUUCAGCAUGGAGCAGUGGCAUACCAGCCUACUGCCGAGUCACUUACAAACCUAUCAACACUGCUAAGGCUCUUUGUAGGUUCAGGGGCCACCAGCAAACCAACACCCAGAUCCUCUGCUUGUUUCCGACUCAGGUCAGCUAUUGGUAUCUGAUGUGGUCUCUCUUUAAAAUACCACGCUAAUUCUUUUAAGCUCCUCUGACAUUCAGGCCUUCUCCACAAGUUGGAGAUGGCCUCAUUCGAAACAUCCACUGGGUUGUUCUACACCGUGUUCAGGUUGAGAGCCUGUUUCUCAGCCCGACAUCCUGGGGUAAUCUUCCACCCACCUGGCUCAGCUGCAGUGGCCAAGAGUGACAGAAAGUGUACACUUUUCUGAGCAAAUCCCUGGGAUCACACAACUGUCACUCAUACAACCUUAGGGACUGAGUCUGUCCUCCACAACUAGCACGUGGCAGGCACAGGGCAAGUGCUCAGAGAAUUCUAAAUGAAUAGAUUCUCAGUCCCCUGAUGAAAUUAGACACAAAUUACCCAACUUUAAGUAGUUUUUAAAGCUAUAAUAUGGGCCCCAGCCAUAGCAUCUGGAUCAUGUAUCUUUAAAAAUAUAAUUUAUCUGAGACAUGGGAUGGGAUUCUUACUGAUUCAGGAAUUAUUUGCAGGGCAGUUAUUGCCAGGACUUCUGAUGCUGCAGGGAAAGAAAGUCAUAGCUUCAGUAGCUGCUAUAUGUACUCUUCCGGGUACUUGGCUCUUUUCCAGAGAGAGGCAGAAACGCCCUUAAAAAGUCUUUUAGCUGGACAGUGUGCAUCUAGUUAAAGCUACUGUAUUGUAUACUUAGAAGUGGUUAAUAUGGGGGGGUGCCUGGGUGGCUCAGUCGGUUAGGCUUCCAACUUUGGCUCAGGUCAUGAUCUCACAGUUCGUGAGUUCAAGCCCCGUGUCGGGCUCUGUGCUGACAGCUCGGAGCCUGGAGCCUGCUUCGGAUUCUGUGUCUCCCUCCCUCUGCCCCUCCUCCACUCACACUCUGUCUCUGUCAUUCAAAAAUAAACAUUAAAACAAAUUUUAAAAAAGUGGUUAA
rnacentral:lncRNA from 1 species